GACGAACGCUGGCGGCAUGCCUAACACAUGCAAGUCGAACGAGACCUUCGGGUCUAGUGGCGCACGGGUGCGUAACGCGUGGGAAUCUGCCCUUGGGUUCGGAAUAACUCGCCGAAAGGCGGACUAAUACCGUAUGAUAUCGUCUGAUGGCAUCAGAUGACGAUUAAAGGUUUGGCGGUGAUGGAUGGGGAUGCGUCUGAUUAGGUAGUUGGUAAGGUAACGGCUUACCAAGCCUUCGAUCAGUAGGGGUUCUGAGAGGAAGGUCCCCCACAUUGGAACUGAGACACGGUCCAA
rnacentral:rRNA from 1 species